CUGGGAUGGUCCUCCCAGCUGGGCCAUGGCAGCUUUUUGUACAGCUUUGCUAUGUGUCUCAGACGAUUCUCUUCUAGUAAGUUACCUUCCUUGUGUUGAGCCUUGAGAGACCAGUGGGAUAGACAAGAAGGAAGGUGGGCGAGCCGGAGCCCCUCUGAUCAGAGAAAGGCCAGAGUUCAUCCUUAAAGACCAGGUAAGUUUUGGUUCAGCCAGGUGACAGUAAGCUAGGACCUGGGUGGGGUGGGGCCCACGACAGGAGGACCUACACAUACCAACUCAGGCUCCUGGCCACUUUCAACCCUGGCUCUGCUCAUCCUGACAUUGGGAAUACCUUCUUCUUGAUCUCUGAGACUCUCCCUGACUCAUAUUACAGCUAUGUGGCCAGCCUUCAGACAUGCAGUCAGUUUCCUAGGCCAAGUCCCUAGCUGAUGAGUGGCUGGCCAUGUAGAACCCAGAGAGUCUGGCAGCAGCUCCUCCUUGGGGCUGUCAUGGCCUGAACCUCUGUGCUUUCCUAGGCUGUCCCCCUGCCCCAGUGUCAGGCUCCAGGUAGUGCCUGGGUCAGGGAACACUUCCAGGUGGUCGGUGAAUGGACUCUUCCAGCCCCAUCCCUCCUCACUGAGAAGAUGACCACGAAAGCUAAAACCAUGGUUGCAUGGUAGCUCAGUGGUAAAAAACCUUUCCUAGAUGUUGGAGGCCCUGGGCUUAGUCCUCAGCACUAUAUACACAGGCAUGUCUGCCGUCAUGCCAGCACUGGGGAAGUGAAGGCAGCAGGAUGACCUCUAAGUUCCAGGUUAUCCUACUCAAUACACGGUAAGAGGCUGGCCUAGGACAUGUAAGUCCAUGUCUCAUAGUGAAGAGAGUGGCCUGUAGCACUCCCCUCCCCAGAGGGUUUAUGUGCACUCAGCUCUUGCUAGGGAAGGGAGAGAAGCCACUGUUUCCCAUGUUCCUGGAAACAACACAGUAAAACUCAGUGGAACAGGGACACACACACACACACACACACACACACACACACACACGGUGUGGGGGCUGGAGAGAGGACUUGGCCAUUAAGAGCACUUCCUGCCUGUGUGCUGUUCCAGAGGACUCAGGUUUGAUUCCCAGCAAACACCCAUCUAUAAGUAAAAAUCAAAGG
rnacentral:lncRNA from 1 species